UACGUGGGGAGCAAGCGUUGUUCGGAUUUACUGGGCGUAAAGGGCGCGUAGGCGGCGCAGUAAGUCACUUGUGAAAUCUCUGAGCUUAACUCAGAACGGCCAAGUGAUACUGCAGUGCUAGAGUGCAGAAGGGGCAAUCGGAAUUCUUGGUGUAGCGGUGAAAUGCGUAGAUAUCAAGAGGAACACCUGAGGUGAAGACGGGUUGCUGGGCUGACACUGACGCUGAGUGCGCGAAAGCCAGGGGAGCAAACGGG
rnacentral:rRNA from 1 species